rnacentral:rRNA from 1 species
CCUACGGGGGGCAGCAGUGAGGAAUAUUGGUCAAUGGGCUUACGCCUGAACCAGCCAAGUCGCGUGAGGGAAGACUGCCCUAUGGGUUGUAAACCUCUUUUGUCAGGGAGCAACGCCGGCUACGUGUAGCCGGACUGAGAGUACCUGAAGAAAAAGCAUCGGCUAACUCCGUGCCAGCAGCCGCGGUAAUACGGAGGAUGCGAGGGUUAUCCGGAUUUAUUGGGUUAAAGGGGUGCGUAGGCGGAAUGCCAAGUCAGCGGUAAAAUCGCGGGGCUCAACCUCGCUCCGCCGUUGAAACUGGCGUGCUUGAGUGGGCGAGAGGUAUGCGGAAUGCGUGGUGUAGCGGUGAAAUGCAUAGAGAUCACGCAGAACUCCGAUUGCGAAGGCAGCAUACCGGCGCCCAACUGACGCUGAAGUACGAAAGCGUGGGUAUCGAACAGGAUUAGAUACCCUAGUAGUC